rnacentral:tRNA from 1 species
GGCAGGGUAGCGCAGUCUGGUAGAGCAUGCGGCUCAUAACCGCACGGUCGAUGGUUCGAAUCCAUCCCCUGCAACCA